GUGCCAGCAGCCGCGGUAAUUCCAGCUCCAAUAGCGUAUAUUAAAGUUGUUGUGGUUAAAAAGCUCGUAGUUGAACCUUGGGCCUGGCUGGCCGGUCCGCCUCACCGCGUGCACUGGUCCGGCCGGGCCUUUCCCUCUGUGGAACCCCAUACCCUUCACUGGGCGUGGCGGGGAAACAGGACAUUUACUUUGAAAAAAUUAGAGUGCUCCAGGCAGGCCUAUGCUCGAAUACAUUAGCAUGGAAUAAUAAAAUAGGACGCGCGGUUCUAUUUUGUUGGUUUAUAGGACCGCCGUAAUGAUUAAUAGGGACAGUCGGGGGCAUCAGUAUUCAACUGUCAGAGGUGAAAUUCUUGGAUCAGUUGAAGACUAACUACUGCGAAAGCAUUUGCCAAGGAUGUUUUCAUUAAUCAGGAACGAAAGUUAGGGGAUCGAAGACGAUCAGAUACCGUCGUAGUCUUAACCAUAAACUAUGCCGACUAGGGAUCGGACGGUGUUAUUCAUGACCCGUUCGGCACCUUACGAGAAAUCAAAGUGCUUGGGCUCCAGGGGGAGUAUGGUCGCAAGGCUGAAACUUAAGGAAAUUGACGGAAGGGCACCACCAGGGGUGGAAGCCUGCGGCUUAAUUUGACUCAACACGGGGAAACUCACCAGGUCCAGACACAAUAAGGAUUGACAGAUUGAGAGCUCUUUCUUGAUUUGUGGGUGGUGGUGCAUGGCCGUCUAAGUUGGUGGGGUGACUUGUCUGCUUAAUUGCGAUAACGAACGAAGACCUUAACCUGCUAAU
rnacentral:rRNA from 1 species